rnacentral:rRNA from 1 species
GACGAACGCUGGCGGCGUGCUUAACACAUGCAAGUCGAACGAAGAGCGAUGGAAGCUUGCUUCUAUCAAUCUUAGUGGCGAACGGGUGAGUAACGCGUAAUCAACCUGCCCUUCAGAGGGGGACAACAGUUGGAAACGACUGCUAAUACCGCAUACGAUCCAAUCUCGGCAUCGAGACUGGAUGAAAGGUGGCCUCUAUUUAUAAGCUAUCACUGAAGGAGGGGAUUGCGUCUGAUUAGCUAGUUGGAGGGGUAAAGGCCCACCAAGGCGAUGAUCAGUAGCCGGUCUGAGAGGAUGAACGGCCACAUUGGGACUGAGACACGGCCCAGACUCCUACGGGAGGCAGCAGUGGGGAAUCUUCCGCAAUGGACGAAAGUCUGACGGAGCAACGCCGCGUGAGUGAUGACGGCCUUCGGGUUGUAAAGCUCUGUUAAUCGGGACGAAUGGUUCUUGUGCAAAUAGUGCGAGG